UGGUGUUUAAGAACACAGGGAGUGUCGAGGCUUUAACACAGACACUUCUCAUUCAGUCAGUCAUCAGUGUGACAGGAUGGAGCUCCGUCCACUCUGUGUGUUUCUCUUGAUGACUGGACUCAUCCACUGUACACAAACAG